rnacentral:rRNA from 1 species
AUUGAACGCUGGCGGCAGGCCUAACACAUGCAAGUCGAGCGGAUGAAGGGAGCUUGCUCCUGGAUUCAGCGGCGGACGGGUGAGUAAUGCCUAGGAAUCUGCCUGGUAGUGGGGGAUAACGUCCGGAAACGGGCGCUAAUACCGCAUACGUCCUGAGGGAGAAAGUGGGGGAUCUUCGGAUCUCACGCUAUCAGAUGAGCCUAGGUCGGAUUAGCUAGUCGGUGGGGUAAAGGCCUACCAAGGCGACGAUCCGUAACUGGUCUGAGAGGAUGAUCAGUCACACUGGAACUGAGACACGGUCCAGACUCCUACGGGAGGCAGCAGUGGGGAAUAUUGGACAAUGGGCGAAAGCCUGAUCCAGCCAUGCCGCGUGUGUGAAGAAGGUCUUCGGAUUGUAAAGCACUUUAAGUUGGGAGGAAGGGCAGUAAGUUAAUACCUUGCUGUUUUGACGUUACCAACAGAAUAAGCACCGGCUAACUUCGUG